GAUGAGGAUGCUUGCAUGGCUGUAAUACCUGAUGGACUGUAAGUUGAGCAAAAAGGCCACCAAGAAGCAAACCAAUAUCGAGAAAAACUUUAUUGAAUAAACGAGGUCGCUUUUAUCUCCGAAUACAAACCAGGACGAUCUAUCGCUGGCGCUGCUCCCGCCCGUCAUCAGGAUGGCGAUGAGGGAACUAAGCAUGAUAGCCGUGGAUGCUAAUAAGGUCGACGCCAUUAUAUUGUUUCGCAGCGAUUGCACUGCCAAUACUCCUUUUGACCCGUCCUGCAUGUCCCCAACAAUCAAUUAGUUACCAUUUCUAUAGGAAGGAAAUCAAGAUUUAAAGAAAGAAGUAAAUGACCAACCUCCAUCAUAGCUUGAACCCAAAAACGACGGUUGAUGGCGUUGAUGCCGAUGACAGUCUUGGUGGGAUGUUUUAAGAUUCGAUAGAGAAGCCAUAAAUGGUAGGCAACCAUUAAAAGAAUCCCCAUCGGGACUAGUACGCAAUCCAAAUAUUGUUUCUCCAUACUCAUAUUGGACAGAGUACAGUUUCAAAGAAGGCGUUUGGCUGUGACAGACUGCCUCAAGCGUUCUUCAAAGCCUAAAAGACGAGUGUGUUUUUGUUUGAAGUGUGAAUGGUGAGGGGAAAACAAAGAAAGAGUGCUUUUUGGUUGAGGACUGUUUGUAGUUUGCUUGAAUGUAUGGAAGGCAACGAACCGUAUUUAACGAGUUGUCAGCGUGAUUUUGAAACGCGAGUUUCGAUGUGGUGUGGACUAAUCAAUGGGGUUAAUGGAAAAUAAGAGUUGAGUAUGAAGUGGGACUCUAACGUGGCACUCGGCCAUGACUUGGUUUACUGCCUGGCUUACUGCUGUCAAAUGUGAAUCCCUUAUUCCCCUUAUCAAUUAUUCCCAAUCCUUAAUUCACUAUCAGUUUCUAAAAUCAAAAUACCUAGUGCCACUCAUGAUCUCCACCAGUGACCUCCAACGUCGCUGCCCGUCUGUCUCCCACCCACCACUCCGUCUCCCGCUUCCUCAGUUUUGUGCCUAUCAUCGUCGCGUCGUCCCACUCCAACCCAUCACCAUUGCGUCGUCCGUCUUCCUGUUGCUUCCUCUGUCACCGGCGUUCACCACUAUCGUGGCAUUCUCUGCUCCAGCCUUCAGUCGUCAUCGUCCCCCUAGUUUGCCCGGUAUAUAUGCACCGUACUUAAAGAUUCUCGUUCUUCUAUCUUGACAUUUUGAUUUAAUCUCUGUAGUUAAUUUUUCACAAUGCAUGUUUUCCUUCCUGGUACUGCCAAUUUCAUUGUUGUUCUGGCUUUUUUUACUGCGUCAUCAAUCCAAUGAGGUCUUUUGGAGGUGAUGUAUCACUUUUAGUUUCAGAUUAAACAAUGUGGUGGUUUCAUUAA